rnacentral:pre_miRNA from 1 species
AAUGUACUCCCUCUGUUCGGAAAUACUUGUCAUUGAAAUGGAUGUAUCUAGAUGUAUUUUAGUUCUAGAUACAUCCAUUUUGAUGACAAGUAAUUCCGAACGGAGGGAGUACUAG